GACGAACGCUGGCGGCGUGCUUAACACAUGCAAGUCGAACGGAGCGGCGAGCGGGCGGGUAACACGUGGGUGACCUGCCCCGCACUUCGGGAUAAGCCUGGGAAACUGGGUCGAAUACCGGAGAGUGUGGGAUGGGCCCGCGGCCUAUCGGCUUGGUGGUGGGGUAAGGGCAUACCACGGCGGCGAAGGGUAGCCGGCCUGAGAGGGGGGACGGCCACAAUGGGACUGCGACACGGACCAGACUCCUACGGUGGGCAGCAGUGGGGAGUCUGGCGCAAUGAGGGGGAGCCUGAUGCAGCGACGCCGCGUGGGGGAUGACGGCCUUCGGGUUGUAAACUCCUUUCACCAUCGACGCGGUAGAUGGAGAAGAAGCACCGGCUAACUACGUGCCAGCAGCCGCGGUAAUUC
rnacentral:rRNA from 1 species